AGCGAAACUGCGAAUGGCUCAUUAAAUCAGUUAUCGUUUAUUUGAUAGUACCUUACUACUUGGAUAACCGUGGUAAUUCUAGAGCUAAUACAUGCUAAAAACCCCAACUCACGAAGGGGUGUAUUUAUUAGAUUAAAAACCAAUGCCCUUCGGGGCUCUCUGGUGAUUCAUAAUAACUUUUCGAAUCGCAUGGCCUUGUGCCGGCGAUGGUUCAUUCAAAUUUCUGCCCUAUCAACUUUCGAUGGCAGGGUCUUGGCCUGCCAUGGUUACAACGGGUAACGGAGGGUUAGG
rnacentral:rRNA from 1 species